UGUGCAGGGGGAUAGCAGAGAGAGGGAACAGCCAGUGCAAAGGCCCUGAGGUGGGAGCCUGCAUGGCAUUUAUAUAGGACAGUGAGGAGGAGAGCCUUGUGACUGAAGUGGAGUGAGUAAGGGGGAGAGUGGUAGAAGGUGAGGUCAGAGAGGUGACCAGAGGGGGAUAGAAAAAGGGAGGGGACUGACAGCUUAGGGCCUUAUGGGCUAUUUGACGUUCUCUCUGAGUGAGAUGGGUGUGCAGAGAAAACCAUGAGGGGAUUCUGAGCAGAGGAGGGCUGCGGUCUGAUUGAGGAUUUAACAGAAUCCCUCUGCCUGCCGAGGAAUGACUGAGGGGAGGGGGUGAAGGCGGAAGCAGUGAGGAGGCCACUGCAGUAGUCCAGGCCAGCGAUGAUGGUGGUGGCCGUGGCUGUGGUGAGAAGUCAGUUUCUGGGUAAAUUACGGAGGUGGAACUGACAGGAUUUGCUGACAGUUUAGAUGUAGAAGUAGGAGGAGGAUGAAUCGAGGGUGACUAGAGGUUUUUUUCCCUGAGGAACUGGAAGGUGGAGUUGACAUUGACUCAACUGGGUGAGAGACUGUGAGAAGAGCAGGCUGGGAGGGAAGACCAGGAUCUAUGUUUUGGACGUGUGGGGUUUGAGACUGUUAAAAGGCCCUGGGGGUCCGACAGGUUGCAGAUACCCUCAUCCUACCCUAUGGCUCUCCAAGAAGGGAAGGGAGAUCUCAGGAAAAUCUUGACCCACAUGUUCCCCGCCCCCCGCAGACGUUUUCAAGAAUGCUCUCCGCCUGGGGACCUUCUCAGCCGUGCUGGUCACGUACGCAGCCAGUGCCCUCCUGCACGGCUUCAGCUUCCACCUGGCUGCAGUGCUGCUGUCCCUGGCGUUUAUCACUUAUGUGGAGCAUGUCCUCCGGAAGCACCUGGCUCGGAUCCUCAGUGCCUGCGUCUUGUCGAAACGAUGUCCACCAGACUGUUUGCACCAGCAUCGCUCGGUGAGGGUUCAGCCCAGACAACCAACCUCGUGCCCAAACACCCCCUCAAAGAAUAUUAUACUUUGGUUGCCAUCUCAUACCUGUCUCAGAGUUCCUGGCUUCCUGGCAAAGUUCUAGGUGUGGAGAAACAGUGAUCAAAGCAAGCCCAAGUCCCAGCCCUCGUAGGGCUAACGUUUUACUGGGGGUGACAGUAAAUAAAAAUAAGUUGGUAUUAUAAAAAAAAGUAUUAUAGUUUGUUAAAUUGUGAUUAGUGCUAUGGAGAAGGGAAGGGGAAUAGGAAGUAUCAGGGGGUAGGUGGUUUUGAGUUUCAGCAGGGAGGUCAGGGAGGCCUCCCUGAUGAGGUGACUUUGAGUUCUUUAACUGAAAGAGGUGAGGGAGAGAACCAUUCCAGGCAAGGGUAACAACCAAUGUAAAAGCCCUGAGAUGGGAGUGGGCCUGGAAUAUUUGAGGAACAGCCAGGUGGUCAGUGUGAUCUGAGCAGAGUGAAUGUGGGGUGGGAAGCAUGGGCAGCGAUAUAGUCAGUGGCCAGCUCCUUUUGGGCCCUGUAGGUUAUGGUUGGAAUUUGAGUUUUGUUUUCCUUUGUUCAUUCUUUUUGCAAUUAAAGAAGUAUGAGAGGCGGGGCAAGGAUGGCGGAGUAGUCAGAUGCCUCCCGUGAAUCAUCUUACAACAAAGACCUGAAAAAACAAGUGAAACAAUUAUGUUUAUGACAAGCUAGGAGCCCUGAACAUCAAAGGCAAAGUUAGAAAACGGGCUGAGCAGCAGGGGGAGAGAGAAACUGUUUAGAAGCAGAGAGGAGUUGUGAGACCUGAGUUGCUGGGAACCCUCAGGCUCCACUGGGCUGGUGGUAGCAUUCAGCCGCAGUUUCCUCCAGGAGAAACAGCCAGCCACACAGCCUACGCAUACCUCCGGAACCAGAGAAGAAUGGAGCUCUUAGCAAAAGCUAAGGACUUGUGUAUAUUUGAAUGUGCUCCCAGCCCCCAAGACACCUUCAGUGGCUGUCAAUUUCCCUGGGCCUGAGAUAGGUUCUGCCGCGUGCUCUGAGCCAUUCUCCCAGCCUUGGAGAAGGAAUAAAUUCACAAUUAGAGAAAAGACACUCUGCCAGCUCCACUAACCUGGGGAGCUCAGGACAGAAGCGACUUCUGUCCAGGUAUAAUCGAUCCAUGGACUUUGAAUAGCUUUCCCCCCUGCAUGGACCUGUGUGGGUCUAUUUCAGGAGAACAGGCCCUUGUUGGCAGACUGCAACUGUUUCAGGUGUGCGGUGGAGAGGUGGGUGUUUGAUGUUUGACACCACUUUGCCUAUUAAGCAGGGUCCUCACCUACCCACAUAAGGGGCCUAAGGACUGGUGGCUCCACCUAUGUCACCCAGCCACCCAAGACAGGGGUCCAAGGAUACACGGUACCUCCCAGUCCUUACAACCAAAAGCAUUGGGUGCACAUGGUCCGUCUGCAGAACCCACCCACCUGUGUGCUGUAGGGAACAGGGACGCACUUUCUUCACAGACACUCAGGGGAUGGUUGUCAGCCCUCUGCUUUGUUCAGAGCGUGACCCCCUGCUGCAACCAGAUACUGGUACCUAUGCCAAUCACCCCUGCCCAUCUAAGACUAUAGGACACAGCCUGUACUACACACUUGAUGACCAACUAUCUGGACACCUGAGCUGAAUCCAUACAAGAGAAGUGAAUGGACUCCUAGCUCAUAUACCUGAUAACAGUUCUAGCAAUCUGGUGACAGGAUGUUACAGCUUCAAAGGUGAAAAUAAUCAAGCUAGCUCAUUGAAGCAACCUAUUUGGGCAUAUCAAAACAAAAAGAAAGAAGCUAGGAUACAAUAAAAAAAAAAAAAAGCAUAAAAACAUAAAACAUAAAAAAAAUCUGGUGACAGGAUGUUACAGCUUCAAAGGUGAAAAUAAUCAAGCUAGCUCAUUGAAGCAACCUAUCUGGACGUAUCAAAACAAAAAGAAAGAAGCUAGGAUACAGUAAGCAAACAUAAAAUAAACUAAUACAAUAACUUAUAGAUAGCUCAGAUACAACAGUCAAUAUUAAAUCACAUAAAGAAGCAGACCGUGAUAGUUUCAACAAGCUCUCAAAACCAAGAAUCAAGAGAUCUUCUGGAUGAAGGUGCAUUUGUAGAGUUACCGGAUGCAGAAUACAAAAGAUUUAAUAUACAAAACUCUUUAAGGUAACAGAAAAGAGAUCAGGAAGGAGAUCAGGCAAUACGCAGAACAAGCCUAGGAACACACAGAUAAAGCAGCUGAAGAAAUUCAAAAGGUUAUUAAAAAACAUAAUGUAAACUUUAACAAGCUGCA